GGCUCAUCUGUGGCUGAUGGAGAGAGACAGGCUCGUCUCCAGCACAGCCUGAAACAUUUGAAGGUGAAAUGUCACCAGUUACUCAUUUCCCACUAUCACAAUGUGGAUCAGCCAGCCAAGGAGCAGCUGAGGGCCGGUGCCACAGCAAGGGAAGCGUGGGACAGUGAGACCAGACCUACGUGGGGAGCAGCAGCACAGGCAGCAGAGCUCCUCCCUGCCAGCCCAGAACCUUUGCAGCUCCUCUGAGCUGCUCUCCACUGCAUCUUGAGGGACCUUGGAUCACCAGCUCCUCCCACCGUGAAUUUAUUCAGCCUCCCUUUCACCAGUCCCAAAGCCAGACAAGAGUUUGUUUCACUACAAGAAAACAGAAGAAAUGAGAAUUCAAGACUCCAGCCAUUCCCCUUCAGUAUUUCCCUAAAGAAGGGCAUGAAAGAGAACAGGGAAAGUUGAUAAGGCUGUAUUCUCCUCUUUUCCCCCCAGUCCUCCUGAUUCCUUGUUUGGCAGUAACACGCUCCAGCUGUGAUGGGCAAGGGGGGCACGAAAUGAAGAGCACAGCUGGCUGUGAUAAAUGAGGCCUGAAGGACUCAGGGCUGGCUAAUGUGGAACAUCCACAGCGUGCCCUGCUCAUGAGGGAAGAGCAGGAGGCCAGCACGUGUCAGGAAUGUAAGGCUGGCUCCUGUUCUGGGAGAGGAGAACAAGGAGAAAAUCACUGAACUGGCAGUGAGGACAUCAUGAAUGUACAGCUGGCUUGAUUUUCUGUUCUGUCACUUUGAAAUCAAUGCAGUCGUGUAAACAAAAAAUGAGUGGACUUGAGGAAAACAAGGAUGAGGAGACAUCGGAAGAAUUUAUGUGGGCUAACAAGUGAAAUGGGGACUAUCUUAAAAACAGCUUCCUUGGACUACAAGGACUGAGCCAAGCGUGUGGAUGCUCAAGGAAAUGAAUUAAUUUAUAAAGUAGGGAGGGAAUAAGGAGAUGAAUUAGACAAAACUAAGUCUGGAAGGGAAUUUAAACCAGAACCUUAUAUAGACACUGGAGCAGCAGGAGGUGCUGAAGAGAUGUUACAAAAUGUCCAGAGGAUGGAACUGUCAGUUCUCUACCAUUUGUCAAGAAUUUUCAUAGAGAACGCUUUUCUUCUGUCAAGUAAAUUAUGAUAUAAAAUGUUUUAGACUGUUAAAACACUUGAAAAAAAGAAAAUAAGCUAUGAAUAGCGUAGGUGAUACCUUCCAGCUUUGCAGCUGAAGAAAGCUGCUCUGUAAAACUUGUUUUAUUUUGUCCACAGUGUUCUUGACCUAAUCACAGAAGUAUGUGUCACCCUAAACCUCACCAGCUUCAGAGUUUAACACAUUCCUUACCCUGUCUCAGGAAUGAGGAGCCAGCUGCACAACCUGGGGCCUUGUGUUCAUCUUCAGGUGCUCUUGGGCCUUCAAAAGGAGACAGAAUCUCUCUAACAGUCCUGAUAGAGGUUCUGUUCUCUUGUCAGUGAGCAGAACUCAGAAGAAAACAGGUCUGAAAAAGCUUUGACCACCUGAAGAUGGAACAGGAAGUGAAAAGGCUGGAAAAUGCCAAGAGAGAGGAUGAAUUCCCACAGCUCCAGCAGGAAUGCUUCCCUGCUGGCCAGCCUGUGACCUGUGCCUUAAAGUAUCAUGGAAGAGCUUCCCAUGUCUCCACAUGGCUCUUGUGGAGCUCUGAAAUAAUCCUGAGUGUGCUUCCACAGCCCUUAAUGUGCAUGGAAGGAAGACAAAAGCCAAUUUAUUUCUAACAUCCCUUCUCUCAGCGCCUCUAAUGUUCCUGCUUCUGAAUCAAAGGGAGGCAUUCUUCAGGAAGAUGCUAAUAAAUAGCUUUUCCUUGGGGGAAGAAGCAUUUUCCCAUCUCUAAGAAAUUUCUCUGGCCAUGUGAAAUUCAAAUUUGUUAGCUUGCCCUACAAACAGCAACUCAUUUAGAAACAAAUUACAAAUAUUAGAUGGAGACAGUGAACUUGAUAAUGCAAUGCUGCCACAUCAGUUGUAGAAUAAUGCAUCUUAAUGAAGGCUUCCCAUGUGAAUAAACCAUUAUAUUUACAAGCUUUUCACAGUUAAUGACCCAGAACUGGAUAACGAAACUCACAUUUUUAGUGUGGUCCUCU